UACGUAGGGGGCAAGCGUUGUCCGGAAUCAUUGGGCGUAAAGAGCGCGUAGGCGGCCCGGUAAGUCCGCUGUGAAAGUCAGGGGCUCAACCCUUGGAAGCCGGUGGAUACUGUCGGGCUAGAGUCCGGAAGAGGCGAGUGGAAUUCCUGGUGUAGCGGUGAAAUGCGCAGAUAUCAGGAGGAACACCUAUGGCGAAGGCAGCUCGCUGGGACGGUACUGACGCUGAGGCGCGAAAGCGUGGGGAGCAAACAGG
rnacentral:rRNA from 1 species